rnacentral:lncRNA from 1 species
UGUUUCUUUGAAUAGACAUGUCCCUACGAAGGAGUCCAUUCGUUUGAACAGACAUGUCCUUACAAAAGAAUUCAUUUGUUUAACACAUAAAUUUCACCAAGUAAUUUAUCAAAUACACAUGCAUUAUUAAAAUUUGCAAUCUAAUUUCUCAACAGCUAGAAUCCCUCUUGGUGGUUCUAGGUUUCUAACCCUUGAAGCUACUCCUUGAUUACUAAUAGCCCUUGGAUCAAAUACUAUUUCACCUACCACCUCCAACCACCAUCUACCACCAUCAUCCCAACCUUACAUUUUUCCAUCCAAGGAUUAAAAACUCAAAAGCACCAACCUCGAUGCUUUUGAGAGUAUUCUAACUCAACUAUAUAUAUAUAUAUAUAUAGAGAGAGAGAGAGAGAGAGAGAGAGAGAGAGUUCGGCUACUAUACUAUCGAUAGUACCAAGCCCUUGGUACUAUUGAGUUUUCUACCGUUAGAUCUACCCUUUGAUCAUUUCCACCUGUUAGAUUAUACUAUUAAACUAAUCACCCACUCAACCCUAGGGGACCACUAUCAUCCUAACUGCACAUCCUUUUUAUCCAACGACCGAAAACUCAAUAGUACCACACCCACUCAACCCUAGGGGACCACUAUCAUCCUAACCGCGCAUCCUUUCACCCAACGGCCGAAAAUUCAAUAGUAUCAAGGACUUGGUACUAUUGAUAGUAUAGUAGCAUAAUUCUAUAUAUAUAGGCUAAUGCUACUAUCCUAUUAAUAAGAUAGGAGCACUUGUCCUAUCAAGUUGUUCUUGAUGAUCGAGAUUCCGAAUCGAUAAUCGGAGCCGUUGAAGUUGAUCUAGAGUAUUUGAAAUAUCUAGAAACUAAAUUUCAUAAAUUUUCAUAAUGGUUUACCUGGUGAUCAAAGUGUCGUAAAAUCGACAAUUUUUUACGGUCUAUAUGAGCCGUUUGCUUGUUUAACGGUGUAGAACAAUCCAAAUUGCUUGAAUUUUUGAUAGAAAAUUCUUUAUACUAUUUAGAUAAUGUUUGAUAACUCUGAUUACGAACUGAGAAAAUCUAACCUCUAUUUUAAGAAGGUUAUUCAUUUAUGACCGUUCAUUUUUCAACUCUUAAGAUGAACUUGAUAAUGAUUUUUAAAUAAUACAAAAAUUGGUUUCUAAACAUUUCUAAUUGUGUAGAUCAACUUCAACGGUGCCGAUUAUCAAUUUGAAGUUCCAAUCAUUCAAAUCGACUUGAUAGGACAAGGGUCCCAAUCCUAUUAAUAGGAUAGUAGCCGGACCUAUAUAUAUAUAUAUAUAUAUAUAUAUAUNCGAUGAUGUGGCUUCCAAAUCGACGAUCGGCUCCGUUAGACUUGAUCUACACUAUUGAAAAUAUUUGAAAACUAAAUUUUAUAAUUUUUCGAUAUCAUUUACCUAUCAAACAAGUAGUCUAAAAUUGAACGGCUGAAAAUAAAAAUCUCAUGAAAAAUGAUGAUAAAAGAUUUAAAUUCAAGAUCAGAUAUACUGAUCUUACUUUAAAUAGUGAAAAAAAUUUUCUAUAAAAUUUUCAUCGCAUUUGGAUUGUUUUACACUGUUAAACUCACAAACACACCACAUCGGCUCUUAAAAUUGUCAAUUUUGAGAUUUUUUGAUCACUAGUCAAAUGAUGUCGAAAAAAUCUGAAAUUUAGUUUUCAAAUACUUUCAAUAGUGUAAAUCAAAUCUAGCGGAGCCGAUCGUCGAUUUGAAAGCCGCAUCAUCGAAAACAACUCGGUAGCACGGAGCGCUCCGUGCUACCGAUAGCAUAGUAGCUGGACUAUAUAUAUAUAUAUAUAUUUCAUUUAUUUUCUUGUG